UGGCUCAGUGGUUAAGAGCACUUGACUGUUCUUCCAGAGGUCCUGAGUUCAAAUCCCAG
rnacentral:tRNA from 1 species